GGAGAGGGAAAGAACCCAGACCAUCAGCUAAGGUCCCCAAAUAUAUGUUAAGUUGAACUAACGAGGUGAAACUGCUUAGACAGCUAGGAUGUUGGCUUGGAAGCAGCCAUUCAUUUAAAGAGUGCGUAACAGCUCACUAGUCGAGCGGUUCGGCAUGGAUAAUAAUCGGGCAUAAACAUAUUACCGAAGCUAUGGACUAUAGUUUACUAUAGUGGUAGGGGAGCAUUGUAACAGAGAUGAAGGUGAGUCGCGAGGCUUGCUGGAUCGGUUACAAAAGAAAAUGU
rnacentral:rRNA from 1 species